GCGGGUGUAAUCUAGCCUGGUAGGAUGCAAGCCUCCCGAGCUUGUCGCCCGGGUUCAAAUCCCGGCACCCGCA
rnacentral:tRNA from 1 species